ensembl:snRNA U4 U4 spliceosomal RNA
AGCUUUGCGCAGUGGCAGUAUCAUAGCCAAUGAGGUUUAUCCGAGGUGCAAUUAUUGCUAAUUGAAAACUUUUCCCAAUACCCCGCCAUGACGACUUGAAAUAUAGUUGGUGUUGGCAAUUUUUGGCAGUAUCUACGGAGA